UGAAGGUGGGUUCACUAUUUUCGCAGCGGGGUGUGAAGGACAGUUCAGCUCCUGAACCCCACAAUUACUCAACAGGCUUUUGGAGCCUGACCGGUUUCCGAAGACAGAAUCUGGACGACUAGGACAUUUUCUUUCGGCACUCAGAGGCAACAGCAUUGUGUCUGGUUUAAGCAGGUGAGCUCUUCAAACACAGGGCACGGGCAAGUAUGAAGCCUGAACACAGAACGGUAGCCACAAGACAGUGGACCAGAGUGCCGUGGCCUACCGCACUAGGUCUACAGCCAAGAAGAAGAGGAUGUCUCAGAGGAGUAUGAGCACACCAUCAUUCCAGAAGCGGAGGAGGAGGAGGCCUUCUCCCCAGGCUCUGGGGAACAUUGUGGGCUGCUGAUUUUCUCAUGGAUGUAAGAGACUCCUCCAGCAGAGGUGAAGUCAGACGUUUACAGCGACAUCUUAACAGGUCAAUGUGUGCAGUUCACCAGAAGCGACAGGUCCAAAAAGAUCGGCAAAGUCAUUUACCAAGUUCCAGCCACGCCUUCCGUGUACUUGAUCAAGUUUGAUGGUGACGUCCACAUCUACGUCUAUAAUGUGUUGGAUAAGAUCUGUUAAGAUACCCAAGGGCCUUUGACAACCCCAGUAUCAUUUCCAGUGGAAUUUGGUUUUGCUCUAAAAAUUAAAAUGUGCGAUGUGACGUGUUGUGUGUGCACACUUUGGUGGAGGAGACGGGCUGUGGUGGAUGGAACAUGGAGAGGAAUCCGGAAAGGUCAAAUCUGUGAACAGUGAGUCUGAUUUCCCGUAGGCUAAAACAAACAGGACUGAGCUGGUCUGGUAUAUAGGGAGAGAAAAGAACUGGAGAUGAGGCUUAGAGGAGCAGGGAUGGCACGGGAAAAAAAAGAUGGAUGUUUAGGAAGCAGUGGAGAGGGGCCAGAAAUAGAUAGACUCUCUGAGGUGAAGUUUGAGGGAGAAACAAAUGGGGAAAGAGGGGCAGGUAUCAGGGAGGUGGUCUUGGAACUCAAGGGGAAACCCAAUAAACUGAUCCAAGCAGACAGAGAAUCAGAGAAGAUCGGGGAUUGUUUGA